AGGUGAAAAGCACCCCGGGAGGGGAGUGAAAGAGUACCUGAAACCGUGUGCCUACAAGUAGUCGAAGCGCGUUCAUGCGUAACGGCGUACCUUUUGUAGAAUGGACCGGCGAGUUACGAUUGUAUGCAAGGUUAAGUGGAAGACACGGAGCCGUAGCGAAAGCGAGUCUGAAUAGGGCGAUUUAGUAUGCGGUCGUAGACC
rnacentral:rRNA from 1 species